AGCGAACGCUGGCGGCAGGCCUAACACAUGCAAGUCGAGCGGCCGUAGCAAUACGGCAGCGGCAGACGGGAGAGUAACACGUGGGAACGCGCCCUUCGGUUCGGGAUAACUCAGGGAAACUUGGGCUAAUACCGGAUACGCCCUUACGGGGAAAGAUUUAUUGCCGAAGGAACGGCCCGCGUCCGAUUAGCUUGUUGGUGAGGUAACGGCUCACCAAGGCGACGAUCGGUAGCUGGUCUGAGAGGAUGACCAGCCUCACUGGGACUGAGACACGGCCCAGACUCCUACGGGAGGCAGCAGUGGGGAACAUUGGACAAUGGGCGCAAGCCUGAUCCAGCCAUGCCGCGUGGGUGAUGAAGGCCCUAGGGUUGUAAAGCCCUUUCAGCGGGGAAGAUAAUGACGGUACCCGCAGAAGAAGCCCCGGCUAACUUCGUGCCAGCCGCCGCAGUAA
rnacentral:rRNA from 1 species